AUUGAACGCUAGCGGGAUGCUUUACACAUGCAAGUCGAACGGCAGCGCGGACUUCGGUCUGGCGGCGAGUGGCGAACGGGUGAGUAAUGUAUCGGAACGUGCCCAGUAGCGGGGGAUAACUACGCGAAAGCGUAGCUAAUACCGCAUACGCCCUACGGGGGAAAGCAGGGGAUCGUAAGACCUUGCACUAUUGGAGCGGCCGAUAUCGGAUUAGCUAGUUGGUGAGGUAACGGCUCACCAAGGCGACGAUCCGUAGCUGGUUUGAGAGGACGACCAGCCACACUGGGACUGAGACAAGGCCCAGACUCCUACGGGAGGCAGCAGUGGGGAAUUUUGGACAAUGGGGGCAACCCUGAUCCAGCCAUCCCGCGUGUGCGAUGAAGGCCUUCGGGUUGUAAAGCACUUUUGGCAGGAAAGAAACGUCGCGGGCUAAUACCCCGUGGAACUGACGGUACCUGCAGAAUAAGCACCGGCUAACUACGUG
rnacentral:rRNA from 1 species